rnacentral:lncRNA from 1 species
GCUGCGGCAGGGGGUGCACGGGAAUGUCUGGAUCUGAGGUUGAAACGUCCACCCGCAGGAGACAAAGCGCCAGGAAACGGCCAGUCUCAUGGAAGAGCUGACCAGCCACCUUCCUGCCCCAGUGCCUGCCAUGCCCACUGGGCUGAGGCCGGAACUGGGAGACGAAUCGGGACUCCAAGGAGCGCCCCGUCGGGGGAGAGUCGGAGAGGGUGUCGAGUUCCAGGCUUGGCUGGCUGGGGAGGGAGAUGAAUAAGUGUCUUCAGAGAUUCGAAGGGAGCAGGAUCCGGACAGACUUGCCCGGUGAAGAGGGCGCCGCCAGGAGGCCAUGCGCGCUCCGGUUCGGCAUUUCCAGCAGUUAGGCUUGGGGAGAAUCGCCUGGGUCCCGGCUCUGGCAGAGUCCGGGUCUCUCACGAGCAGCGCUGUCCGGGAAGCCAGGGUCGUCCUGGGGCGGUCGCUGGCAGGCUCUCCGAGAUGCGCGGGACCCUGGGCGCAUGGAAGUGCCCCACUUCCCGGGUGGUUGGAUGCCUGGCCCGCUGGUGGCUACUCCCCUGCAGGCGCCUCUCUCCUCGGUGCCCUCUUGUCGGGCACGAAUUCGCCGUCUGCACCCGUCCGUUCGUCAGUUCGUAGGAGGGCGCGCGGGAGGAAAGGACAUGCCUGGAGCCGGAAGACAGAAAGGAGAAGCAGGAGCCUGGUGGAGGAGUCGGAAGCUGGGAAGGAGGAGAAAAUGAAACGUUGCCUGAAGACAAUGGCCAAGACAGCAGGUCCCACCCAGCACAGCCGCCAGCACCUCUGCUCCAGCCCCGGCUCCUCCUCCACGGCUGCCCUGGGAUGCAGGAGGCACCUUCACCCAGAAGCUGGGCAAUGA